rnacentral:rRNA from 1 species
UACGUAGGGUGCAAGCGUUAAUCGGAAUUACUGGGCGUAAAGCGUGCGCAGGCGGUUAUGUAAGACAGUUGUGAAAUCCCCGGGCUCAACCUGGGAAUUGCAUUUGUGACUGCAUAGCUAGAGUACGGUAGAGGGGGGAUGGAAUUCCGCGUGUAGCAGUGAAAUGCGUAGAUAUGCGGAGGAACACCGAUGGCGAAGGCAAUCCCCCUGGACCUGUACUGACGCUCAUGCACGAAGGCGUGGGGAGCAAACAGG